rnacentral:misc_RNA from 1 species
UAGAAGGUUUUACGCUUGUCUAUGAUUUUACGAACGAAAAAAUGGCUGAUCCGUUAAGUUUGCUGAGACAAUAUAAUGUUAAUAAAAAAGAAAUUAUCGAAAGAGAUGGUCAAAUAAUAUUUGGUGAGUUUUCGUGGCCGAAAAAUGUAAAAACGAAUUACUUAAUGUGGGGAUCUGGAAAGGAUGGUUCUGCCAAAGAGUAUUACACGUUAGAAUGUUUAUUAUUUAUAUUGAAAAACGUUUCUUUAACUCACCCAGUGUACGUUAGACAGGCAGCUAAAGAGAACAUACCAGUUGUACGUAGGCCUGACAGGAAGGAACUUUUGGCAUAUUUAAAUGGUGAAACUGCAAGUUGUCCUUCCAUUGACAAAAGCGCUCCUUUAGAAUUACCAACCCAAGUUAAACGGUCUGCAGAUUAUGAUGGAUCAGACAGCACAGCCAAGAAACCUCGUCUUGAAGACACUCAUGUUCAAAAAGUCAGGGAACAACUUGCUGCUAGGCUGGAUGCACCUAAAGAAGCAAGCGUUACAGUUGACAAUAUCAAAUCUCUGUCGGAGGCCAUGUCAGUGGAAAAAAUUGCUGCAAUCAAAGCAAAACGUUUAGCAAAGAAAAGAACAACAAUUAAAGGAAAUGAUGACAUAGGCCAAGAAUAUGACAUUCGGGCUAUACUAGACUUGGACGUAGACAUCACCAAAGACAUAAUCAGUCGAGAAAGACAGUGGAGAACCCGUAUUACUAUUUUACAAUCAAAUGGAAAAACGUUUGCCAAAAAUGUUCUAGCCAUACUUCAUGGUAUUAAAGCUCGAGAGGACGGUAGGCAUAAACCUCCACAGCCACAACCGGUUGUCACCCCUCGUCAAACACCUAUGAGGCCGGCGGCGCAACCUUCGGUGUACAAUCGUUACGAUCAAGAACGAUUCAUAAGACAAAAGGAAGAAACGGAAGGUUUUAAAAUCGAUACUAUGGGCACAUAUCAUGGAAUGACGUUGAAAUCUGUGACGGAAGGAUCGGUUAAAGCGCGCUCCACCAUGCCUCAACCUCAAAUGCCAUUGCCUGUAAGUGCAGCGCGACCUCCCGCAUCGGGAAUGUCUAAGCGCAUUUCCCGGACCCCCAUAAUCAUUAUUCCUGCUGCCACGACGUCACUCAUUUCCAUGUACAAUGUGAAGGAUAUAUUGCAGGACCUUAAAUAUGUGACAACAGAACAGAAAAAAGCUGUUGGAGCAAAAAGAGACAACGAAGUGUUGUUACAUAGACAUAAGAACGGUAUCACUGUACCCUACAGAGUAGUCGAUAAUCCUGCCAAACUGAGCCCAAGCGAUUGGGACCGUGUGGUCGCCGUUUUCGUCAUGGGGCCCGCUUGGCAAUUCAAAGGAUACCCCUGGGAAAACCCUGUUGAAAUAUUCUCAAAAAUUUGUGCUUUUCAUUUAAAAUAUGACGAAAUGAAAUUAGACGCAAACGUGGCCCGAUGGGCUGUGACGGUAAUUGAACUUUCAAGGACCAAGAGACAUCUCGACAGGGCGGCACUAAUGAUUUUUUGGGAAAAAUUGGACAAGCACAUGAUGCAGUACAAACAGCACUUGAGAUUUUAAAAAAGGCUAAUGCAAGAGAAAAAAAUGAUGGAAAAUAAGAGUGAUUUAUUUUAUCCUGGAGUGUAUCUACAAGGCUUACACACUGGUUUUAAACAUCAGCAGAAGAUUAUACUUUCAAUUUGUUUUUAAUAAAUGAUUGUAAUUAUA